rnacentral:rRNA from 1 species
AUUGAACGCUGGCGGAAUGCUUUACACAUGCAAGUCGAGCGGCAGCGCGGGGGCAACCCUGGCGGCGAGCGGCGAACGGGUGAGUAACAUAUCGGAACGUACCCAGUCGUGGGGGAUAACUAUCCGAAAGGAUAGCUAAUACCGCAUACGACCUGAGGGUGAAAGCGGGGGACCGUAAGGCCUCGCGCGAUUGGAGCGGCCGAUAUCGGAUUAGCUAGUUGGUGAGGUAAAGGCUCACCAAGGCGACGAUCCGUAGCUGGUCUGAGAGGACGACCAGCCACACUGGAACUGAGACACGGCCCAGACUCCUACGGGAGGCAGCAGUGGGGAAUUUUGGACAAUGGGCGGAAGCCUGAUCCAGCCAUGCCGCGUGAGUGAAGAAGGCCUUCGGGUUGUAAAGCUCUUCGGUGGGAGAAUUGCACGGGUUAAUACCCUGUGUAGAUGACGGUA